rnacentral:lncRNA from 1 species
AGUUCAGCUUCCUCAAAGCUUUUCCCUACAGAAAAAGAACAAAUAGAAAAAGAGAUACUUACACCCAACCAAUGAUCUGGAGUCGGGGAGCCCUUUGGUUGAGUCAGAGAAAGGCUGGAAGAAGUUGAGGAACAUGGUAGUUUUACAAGUUCUAUCUAUGAAGUAUGGGGUGGGAUGGGGUGAGGAUAGGUAGAAGGAGGGAUGGAGAGAGAGAGUAUGUCUUCAGGACAGCCCCGAUUCUUCUACCAGUUCUGAACUAAAGCUUCCUAGUUCUGAGUGUGAAGAGAGCACUGAGAAGAUGACCAGAAGGGCUUAGCAUCUGUAGAGAAUACUAGCCUCCCUUCCAGCUAUCCCCAGGGCAACCAGUUGAACACAUCUGGAAAUCUUCCAGUGUGGGGCAGCCAUACUUGAAACAGCUCGCCUAGAUAUAAUCAGACUUGGACCAAUCUACCCUGGAGCAACCAACUUGCAGCAAGCAGAUCUGGAACAAAACACUCAUGCCUGGUGUAUUCAAAUCUGAAACAGUUGGGCAUGGACUGUUCCUUUCUAUAACUGUGGGGCAGAGUCUACAGGCUUACAUGCAGUUCCAGCAGAACUUCUCUGCCAGUGAUUUGGAGGCAAAUUU